rnacentral:rRNA from 1 species
UACAGAGGUCCCAAGCGUUGUUCGGAUUUACUGGGCGUAAAGGGUGCGUAGGCGGUGCAGAAAGUCGGGUGUGAAAUCCCCCAGCUCAACUGAGGAAUUGCGCCCGAAACUACUGUGCUUGAGGAAGAUAGAGGUACGCGGAACUUAGGGUGGAGCGGUGAAAUGCGUUGAUAUCCUAAGGAACACCGGUGGCGAAAGCGGCGUACUGGGUCUUAUCUGACGCUGAGGCACGAAAGCUAGGGUAGCGAACGGG